GAUGAACGCUGGCGGCGUGCCUAAUACAUGCAAGUCGAGCGAACAGACGAGGAGCUUGCUUCUCUGACGUUAGCGGCGGACGGGUGAGUAACACGUGGAUAACCUACCUAUAAGACUGGGAUAACUUCGGGAAACCGGAGCUAAUACCGGAUAAUAUAUUGAACCGCAUGGUUCAAUAGUGAAAGACGGUUUUGCUGUCCCUUAUAGAUGGAUCCGCGCCGCAUUAGCUAGUUGGUAAGGUAACGGCUUACCAAGGCAACGAUGCUUAGCCGACCUGAGAGGGUGAUCGGCCACACUGGAACUGAGACACGGUCCAGACUCCUACGGGAGGCAGCAGUAGGGAAUCUUCCGCAAAGGGCGAAAGCCUGACGGAGCAACGCCGCGUGAGUGAUGAAGGUCUUCGGAUCGUAAAACUCUGUUAUUAGGGAAGAACAAAUGUGUAAGUAACUAUGCACGUCUUGACGGUACCUAAUCAGAAAGCCACGGCUAACUACGUG
rnacentral:rRNA from 1 species